rnacentral:rRNA from 1 species
GACGAACGCUGGCGGCGUGCCUAAUACAUGCAAGUAGAACGCACAGUUUAUACCGUAGCUUGCUACACCAUAGACUGUGAGUUGCGAACGGGUGAGUAACGCGUAGGUAACCUGCCUGGUAGCGGGGGAUAACUAUUGGAAACGAUAGCUAAUACCGCAUAAUAUUAAUUAUUGCAUGAUAAUUAAUUGAAAGGUGCAAUUGCACCACUACCAGAUGGACCUGCGUUGUAUUAGCUAGUAGGUGAGGUAACGGCUCACCUAGGCGACGAUACAUAGCCGACCUGAGAGGGUGAUCGGCCACACUGGGACUGAGACACGGCCCAGACUCCUACGGGAGGCAGCAGUAGGGAAUCUUCGGCAAUGGACGAAAGUCUGACCGAGCAACGCCGCGUGAGUGAAGAAGGUUGUCGGAUCGCAAAGCUCUGUUGUAAGAGAAGAACGGGUGUGAGAGUGGAAAGUUCACACUGUGACGGUAUCUUACCAGAAAGGGACGGCUAACUACGUG